AGAGUUUGAUCCUGGCUCAGAACGUACGCUGGCGGCACGCCUAACACAUGCGAGUCGAACGAAGUAGCAAUACUUAGUGGCAGACGGGUGAGUAACAUGUAGGUAUCUGCCCUUUGGCCUGGAAUAACACGAGGAAACUUGUGCUAAUACCGGAUAAGUCUUUACGGAGAAAGCUUUAUGCACCAUUGGAUGAGCCUGCACUUGAUUAGUUUGUUGGUGGGGUAAUGGCCUACCAAGACUGUGAUCAAUAGCUGAUUUGAGAGGAUGAUCAGCCACAUUGGGACUGAGACACGGCCCAAACUCCUACGGGAGGCAGCAGUGGGGAAUCUUGCACAAUGGAGGAAACUCUGAUGCAGCGAUGCCGCGUGAGUGAAGAAGGCCCUUGGGUUGUAAAGCUCUUUCGUCGGGGAAGAAAAUGACUGUACCCGAAUAAGAAGGUCCGGCUAACUUCGUGCCAGCAGCCGCGGUAAUACGAAGGGACCUAGCGUAGUUCGGAAUUACUGGGCUUAAAGAGUUCGUAGGUGGUUGAAAAAGUUAGUGGUGAAAUCCCAGAGCUUAACUCUGGAACUGCCAUUAAAACUUUUCAGCUAGAGUAUGAUAGAGGAAAGCAGAAUUUCUAGUGUAGAGGUGAAAUUCGUAGAUAUUAGAAAGAAUACCAAUUGCGAAGGCAGCUUUCUGGAUCAUUACUGACACUGAGGAACGAAAGCAUGGGUAGCGAAGAGGAUUAGAUACCCUCGUAGUCCAUGCCGUAAACGAUGUGUGUUAGACGUUGGAAAUUUAUUUUCAGUGUCGCAGGGAAACCGAUAAACACACCGCCUGGGGAGUACGACCGCAAGGUUAAAACUCAAAUGAAUUGACGGGGACCCGCACAAGUAGUGGAGCAUGUGGUUUAAUUCGAAGAUACGCGCAGAACCUUACCAACACUUGACAUGUUCGUCGCGACUCUAAGAGAUUAGAGUUUUCGGUUCGGCCGGACGAAACACAGGUGCUGCAUGGCUGUCGUCAGCUCGUGUCGUGAGAUGUUGGGUUAAGUCCCGCAACGAGCGCAACCCUCACUUUUAGUUGCCAUCAUUAAGUUGGGCACUCUGAAAGAACUGCCAGUGAUAAGCUGGAGGAAGGUGGGGAUGACGUCAAGUCCUCAUGGCCCUUACGUGUUGGGCUACACACGUGCUACAAUGGUAUCUACAACAGGAAGCAAGACUGCGAAGUUAAGCAAAUCCCUAAAAGAUACCUCAGUUCGGAUUGCACUCUGCAACUCGAGUGCAUGAAGCUGGAAUUACUAGUAAUCGUGGAUCAGCGUGCCACGGUGAAUGCGUUCCCGGGUCUUGUACACACCGCCCGUCACACCAUGGGAGUUGGUUCUACCUUAAGGCAAGGUUUCAAACCCUUGACCACGGUAUAGUCAGCGACUGGGGUGAAGUCGUAACAAGGUAGCCGUA
rnacentral:rRNA from 1 species